GUGUUGAGGAAGAUAAUGACGGUACUCAACAAGGAAGUGACGGCUAACUACGUGCCAGCAGCCGCGGUAAAACGUAGGUCACAAGCGUUGUCCGGAAUUACUGGGUGUAAAGGGAGCGCAGGCGGGAAGACAAGUUGGAAGUGAAAUCCAUGGGCUCAACCCAUGAACUGCUUUCAAAACUGUUUUUCUUGAGUAGUGCAGAGGUAGGCGGAAUUCCCGGUGUAGCGGUGGAAUGCGUAGAUAUCGGGAGGAACACCAGUGGCGAAGGCGGCCUACUGGGCACCAACUGACGCUGAGGCUCGAAAGUGUGGGUAGCAAACAGGAUUAGAUACCCUGGUAGUCCACACUGUAAACGAUGAUUACUAGGUGUUGGAGGAUUGACCCCUUCAGUGCCGCAGUUAACACAAUAAGUAAUCCACCUGGGGAGUACGACCGCAAGGUUGAAACUCAAAGGAAUUGACGGGGGCCCGCACAAGCAGUGGAGUAUGUGGUUUAAUUCGACGCAACGCGAAGAACCUUACCAAGUCUUGACAUCCUGCGACGGUGCUGGAAACAGUACUUUCCUUCGGGACGCAGAGACAGGUGGUGCAUGGUUGUCGUCAGCUCGUGUCGUGAGAUGUUGGGUUAAGUCCCGCAACGAGCGCAACCCUUAUGGUCAGUUACUACGCAAGAGGACUCUGGCCAGACU
rnacentral:rRNA from 1 species